CUUUGGUGUCCGCAGGGAACCAAUCCCCAGAGCCUCCGACUCGGAUGUCCAGGGAGGGGUGGGCGGGGUCAGAGCGCCGGGCUCUUCUUGGCCAAUCCCGAGGGUCCCCGCACCAGCGUGGUCCGCGAUUAGCCUCGCCUUUCCGGGAGAGACUUCCAGCUGGGGGCCGCGCAGUCAACCGCCGAGUGGUGGCGCACAGCGCUCGCUUAAGCGGGAAGGAAGGGAGGUGCUGGACUUGCCAUGAUUGGCAGGCAGAAAUGGGGCGGAGAUAAGGCAGGUUUUCUGAGAGAUGAUUGGCUGACUUGGCUGCGGGGGCGGGAGAAGAGAAGACUCGGCCGGGGAUUCGUGGAAGUAGAGCGGAAGUCGGCAGCUGACGCGGUUGAGCCGAGUGUCAAGAGAAUGGAGCAGCGUUUGCGGCAUCGGCGUCUGUCAGCAGGUAUAAUGCUUCACACAUUGGUAAUGAAGCAGCAGCAAUGAUUGCUUUAUGGGAGCCUUGCGUGGUCAGUGGCGCCAUGUAUGGUCUGUAAGUCCGAAAGCUUUGAUAAGUUUUGACUUCAACUUUUUAUAAUCGAUAUGUAUAUAUUUUAUGAUUGUUGUUUAGUCACUAAAUCAUGUCUGGCUCUUUUGUGACCCCACGACUGUAGCCCGCCAUGCUCCUCUGUCCAGGUGAUUUCCCAGGCAAGAACACUCGAGUGGGUUACCAUUUCCUCCUCCAGGGCAUCGUCCCAACCCAGGGAUCGACCCAGGGUCUCCUGGAUUGGCAGAUAGUUUCUUUACUACUGAGCCACCUGGAAAGCCCACAUUUUAUAGUAGUAAAUGAUAAAAUAGUAUCUAUAUGUAUUUUAUGCAUUCAUGACAUUCCUUUCUUAAUUUUUAAUAUUUCUAGUCUAUACCUGAGUUUUUACCAAUUGUUGCAAAUCUCCAAAAAUGAUUCCAAUAUACUUAUUGAAAAAAAAAAUCCUCAUCUGAGUGGAUCUGUGUGGUGGUGUGUUGAGCGCUCAAGGGUCAACUUUAUUUAAAACCAUGAAAUGGGAUGAGAUCUUCCAGGGAGUGAGUGUAGGUAAAGGUCCAAGGCUGAACCCUUGGGCCUGUCAACAUUAAGAGGUCAGGAGAUGAGAGGGAACCAGCAUGGAGACUGGGAAGGAGUAGCUGGGGAGAGGAAUGGCGGAGGGUGGUACCCCAGAUGCCUGUGUUGAGGGCAGACGGGCAUGGAGAGAGGUUCUUGCACUGUUUGGUCAUUCCUCUCUCUCUCUGAACACUGGCUGCUGUAUUUGAGAAAGUGAAAUACACAUGAUGCCAUCCCACUGUGCUGUCACAAUCAAAAAUGCACCACUCCAGUAACAUGUGGGAGUCCAGGAAUGGCAGUUGGAAUCACACAAGGCGCAGCGUAUGGUCCCUGGGCUUGGCUCUCAACAUAGCCUGUGGACAGCUGUCUGGGCCAAGAAGGGCUUGGCUGAGACACCAUGUGGCACAGUGGCCUAGCCCAGAGACUGGGAUGUGCAUCCAGGUGCUACAGGCCUGUUUCCCCACUUGUCAAAUGGAGCGCAAGCACCCUCCACCCAAAGCAUUCAUGAGGCUUGAGAGAGAAAUUGCAUCUGAAUUAACCAGCUAGGCCCUUGAGCCCACCAAGUGCUGUGAACACUGGCUGACUCACCAGACGUCUGCCGUGGGUUCUGAACGGCAGUGCAGGCUCCUGUGUCACAGCCUCACAGGGAUGCUCUGCAAAGAGCCGCUCACUCACCACACACCCCCAACCGCCCCCCGCCCCCACCUCAAUGAGUCAUGCCACUCUUGUCAUUCCAAGAAAUCUUAAUUUCUUUAUUGAUUUUUGACUCAACAAUUUUUUUUUAACUUUUUGUUUUUUUCUGAAACGUUCUUGUUGUUAUGAGCCUUUUGUUUUGUUCUCGUUAAAUGCACUCGACCCAAAAUUGGUUUGGCAUAUCGAAAAGGAGACCAAGGAGGGACUGGGGUCAUGGGAGAAGAGGGGAGGAGGCCCGAAUGGACAGAGAGAAACUGAGGGUGAGAGAAGAGGAACACAGAGACAGUGAGACACAGGGGAAGAGGUGGAGACACUGAGAAAGGAAGGCAAGGAAAACCAAACCCCCCCCCCCAAAAAAAACCAAAAAAACAAAAACAC